AUUCUACUCCCUCCGUCCAACAAAGGAUGUCUCAAUUUUGACCAAAUUUGAAUUUGGUCAAAAUUGAGACAUCCUUUGUUGGACGAAGGGAGUAGUAG
rfam:Brachypodium distachyon strain Bd21 chromosome 2, whole genome shotgun sequence.